rnacentral:lncRNA from 1 species
GUUGGGGGUAUUAUAUUAUACCUAAAACAACUAUUUGUACUUUUAAUUUUCAUUGUCUGUAAAAUGUUUUGUUUUGGUAAUUUGGUAAUUUGGUAAUAAAUUGGGGGUGUGACAAUGGUGUCUUGUAAGGACAUAAUAAUGACUUGCAAAGAUUUCCACUUCACCUUUUACAUAUGACUUUUACAUCGUUAACGAGUGUUUAUGUAUAAGGGC